GAUGAAGAACGUAGCGAAAUGCGAUAGGUAAUGUGAAUUGCAGAAUUCAGUGAAUCAUCGAAUCUUUGAACGCACAUUGCGCCCGCCAGUAUUCUGGCGGGCAUGCCUGUUCGAGCGUCAUUUCAACCCUCAAGACCCCUUCGGGGGACUUGGUGUUGGGGACCGGCACAGGGGCCUGCCUGCUUGUCUUGCAGCGCCCUCGCCGCCCCCGAAAUGAAUUGGCGGCCUCGUCGCGGCCUCCCCUGCGUAGUAGCACAACCUCGCAACGGGAACGUGACGGCGGCCACUGCCGUAAAACAACCCCAAUUUUAUUAGAGUUGACCUCGAAUCAGGUAGGAAUACCCGCUGAACUUAAGCAUAUCAAUAAGCGGAGGA
rnacentral:misc_RNA from 1 species